CAACAUCAGAAAAGUAAGCG
rnacentral:siRNA from 1 species